CGCGCUUUCGGUAAGGAACAGCUCCUUGGCGGCGUGCGUGAAGCUCUCGUGGCGCGCCGCGGCUUCGAACGCCGUGAGCGCGCCCA
rnacentral:tRNA from 1 species